UAGGGAAUCUUCGGCAAUGGGGGCAACCCUGACCGAGCAACGCCGCGUGAGUGAAGAAGGUUUUCGGAUCGUAAAGCUCUGUUGUAAGUCAAGAACGGGUGUGAGAGUGGAAAGUUCACACUGUGACGGUAGCUUACCAGAAAGGGACGGCUAACUACGUGCCAGCAGCCGCGGUAAUACGUAGGUCCCGAGCGUUGUCCGGAUUUAUUGGGCGUAAAGCGAGCGCAGGCGGUUUGAUAAGUCUGAAGUUAAAGGCUGUGGCUCAACCAUAGUUCGCUUUGGAAACUGUCAAACUUGAGUGCAGAAGGGGAGAGUGGAAUUCCAUGUGUAGCGGUGAAAUGCGUAGAUAUAUGGAGGAACACCGGUGGCGAAAGCGGCUCUCUGGUCUGUAACUGACGCUGAAGCUCGAAAGCGUGGGGAGCGAACAGGAUUAGAUACCCUGGUAGUCCACGCCGUAAACGAUGAGUGCUAGGUGUUGGAUCCUUUCCGGGAUUCAGUGCCGAAGCUAACGCAUUAAGCACUCCGCCUGGGGAGUACGACCGCAAGGUUGAAACUCAAAGGAAUUGACGGGGGCCCGCACAAGCGGUGGAGCAUGUGGUUUAAUUCGAAGCAACGCGAAGAACCUUACCAGGUCUUGACAUCCCGAUGCUAUUUCUAGAGAUAGAAAGUUACUUCGGUACAUCGGUGACAGGUGGUGCAUGGUUGUCGUCAGCUCGUGUCGUGAGAUGUUGGGUUAAGUCCCGCAACGAGCGCAACCCCUAUUGUUAGUUGCCAUCAUUCAGUUGGGCACUCUAGCGAGACUGCCGGUAAUAAACCGGAGGAAGGUGGGGAUGACGUCAAAUCAUCAUGCCCCUUAUGACCUGGGCUACACACGUGCUACAAUGGUUGGUACAACGAGUUGCGAGUCGGUGACGGCGAGCUAAUCUCUUAAAGCCAAUCUCAGUUCGGAUUGUAGGCUGCAACUCGCCUACAUGAAGUCGGAAUCGCUAGUAAUCGCGGAUCAGCACGCCGCGGUGAAUACGUUCCC
rnacentral:rRNA from 1 species